ensembl:lncRNA CTB-1I21.1 uncharacterized CTB-1I21.1
AGAGAGAGAUUGGCUGACCCACAGCUACUGCCCUGAGACUGAGUAGUGUAGUGGGGAGGCCAAUAGAGGGAGAUAAAUGAAGUGCCAUCUAAUUAAGAAACAGGGCAAUGGCUCAUCCUAGGGCUGAGAAGGAAAGAGAGGCUGCUUCUACCAGGUUCUCCAUCCUGCAACACAAGGCUUUGGUAUCAGGAUGCUGCUGGCCUCAUCAAAUGAGUUAGGGAGGAUUCCCUCUUUUUCUAUUGAUUGGAAUAGUUUCAGAAGGAAUGGUACCUGCUCCUCUUUAUACCUCUGGUAGAAUUCGGCUGUGAAUCCGUCUGGUCCUGGACUUUUUUUGGACAGCAGUUGGUUGACAUUUAAAGGGCUACUGUCCCAGAAGGCUGCUUGCCUGGGCCCAUGGCACUGCCAGAAAUCACAAGACUAAGCUGAAAAAGCACAAAGAAGUUUCCUUUCAUUCCAGGAACCUCUUGGCUUGAAUAUGAAAUAGCCUCUUAGUGACACUACACUGCAAUUUCAAAUAAUAGGUUUUUUAUCACCUCUUUGAGAAAUAUCACCUUGGGUUCAUCCCAGAAAAAUAAUACAAAGUAGAAUUUUUUCAAACGUAAUCCCCUUGGGUUCCUCUCAGAAAAAAAUAGAAAGUAGAAUUCUUUCAAACUUAAUCCCCUCUUUGUAUUUGUCUCCUCUGCAUCUCUCCAAAGUAGAUGGGUAGGAGAGGGAAACAGUGCUGUAGAAAAUGGGACAAGAACACACCCUAAUAAAACAAGAAAACAUGGUUUGCCAGAGGUCUCCUUUCCCAGGCUCAAGCCUCAAGUUUCUAAUUGUCCCUACAUUACUCCCACAAAUGCCUUUCUGGGAGAGUCUUGUAUGCUAGACCUCUGCCAUCUUCCCAUCCUUUCUCCCUUCCUCCUAACCUUCACUCUUGAGAAAGACUCAUCCUGGCUUCUGUGUCCAUAGAACCUUGAAGCAGCUUUCUGGUGAGGAGGUGAGCUACUUCCUGCAAAACUACUAGUAGCUGCUAUUGAUUAAUGUAUUCUUCCAACCAGGUAAUGUAUUCCUGUUCCAACAGAAGUCUUCUUGAGACAUAUCUGAAAGUGACAUAGUAACCAGAAGGAAGAUUUUUGGAGGGUUCUUGAACUAGCUCUACAUAGGAAACUGCCAACAAUAACUUCCUGUGGCAUUUGUUAAGUUGUGAUUCUGCCCCUCACUGCUUGACUUAGUCCUCUUGACAAGGGCCAGGAGGAGAAAACAGGUCUCAAAGAACAGUGUACAUCAAAGCCUGGCUUUCCAGCAAUGCCUGACCCUGCCAAAGAAGGCAGGGAAGCCCCCACAGAGCCUCUUAGAAACCUCAACUCCCUCAGCCUCUUGUCCCAGAGCAUCACUGGCAGGUAUAGACCAAGCAUAUCCACAUCCACACGUACGUCUUUUUUGCUUUUAUUCAUUUUAGUUUAUAACAACUAUUUAUUUAGGACGUGGUUCUGUGAGCUGUUAAAUUGUUCUAUUGUCAGAUCAUAGCUGUAUACAUUUGUGGGGUGUCAAAACGAUGUUUUAACAUAUACAUACAAUCAGUGUGAUUAAAUCAAGCUAAUUAACACAUCCAUCACCUUGCUUACCUAUCUUUUUUAUGGUGAGACAUUUGAAAUUUACUCUCUUAGUUGUUUUGAAAUAUACAAUGCAGUAUUAUUGACUAUAGUCACCCUGGUAUACAAUAUAUCUCAAAAUCUAUCCCUACUGUCUCUCUGAAACUUUGUACCCUUUGAUUAACAACUCCCAUUCCCCUUUCAAUCUGAAACAUUGUACCCUUUCAUCAGCAACUCCUCAUUCCCUCCCUCCCAGCCCACUCUUAGCCUCUUUCUACUCUCUAUUUCUAUGAGUUCAACUUUGUUAGAUUUUUACAUGUAAGUGAGAUCAUGCAGCAUUUGUCUUUCUGUGCCUGGUUUAUUUUACUUAGCAUAAUGUCCUUCAGAUUCAUCCGUGUUGAUGCAAGUGACAGGAUUUCUCCCUUUUUAAGGCUGAAUAAUUUUCUAUUGUGUAUGUUUCACAUUUCCUUUAUACACUCAUCCAUUGAUGGAUACCUAAGUUGUUUCAUGUUUUAGCUAUUGUGAAUAAUGCUGCAAUAAACAUGCAGAGUACAGAUAU